AUAUAUAUAUAUAUAUAUAUUAGCGUGGAUGGUACCUUUGGGAGACAAUAGGGGGUUUGAGCAGGUAUAUUACGGAGACAAAAUGAAUAGGGAGACAAUUUUGUGUCUCCCUAACGUUUCAGCAUGUAUUUUACGUACUUUCCAAACAGAUCAGCUCAGUUCAACACAUAUCGGUUGCAUCCGUUUUUCCCCGCUUGUUUCAUAGCCUGGUCCAUUAUAUUGAGGGGGUCAAUAAAUUGCAGAUAAUCAAAGGGACAUUUUGUCUCCCUAUAUUUGGCGUAGUUACAAAACUACAUUGUGGAGACUUCAUGUUUUUUCUUAAUUACUAAAAAACUAGGCUCUAUAUUUUCAUUAUAUUACAUGUGGGGGUCUUUUUUUCGUAUUUGUGAGAAACUGACACAGAAUUUAAAAAAAGUUUUGGCUCCAUGUUAAAUAUACACCCCUUUUGGAACAAAAUUUUGUCAAAAAAUCGUGACGUCAUCACCCCCAUAUAUCAGUGCAUACUAAAUGCACGUACAUGCAAUGUGCAUGUGCUGCGCUGUCAUGUCGAUGUACCAGAGGCUACUGAUGAUGUGAUGUCUUCUAUCACAACGAGAUCAGAGGAGCGGACCCCUAUUCGCUGCAAAACAUCCUGCAAGACGAGAAGAGUGCUUCUUAAAAGGUGUUGGAACAGGCAGUCAUACAUUGGCCAGCCAGCAGCCAUCAGUGUCCAGCAGUAGGCAGCCACUGGUAUCCAGCAGUAGGCCACUACAGAGUCAGACAAUGCAGACCCAGAAAAGUACAAUGGUUGGUCAAAGAAGGAAGCGUAUAAAGCCUGACAAAGAAGCAGAGAUAUAUAUCAGAAAACAGGAAGACAAACAAGGUUUUGUUGUCAAGGAAAUUCCUCUGAAAGGAAGAGGAGUAGUGACUCCAGAGGAAUUUGACAAUGGAGAUUUCCUCUUGCAGUAUCCAGGAAAACUACUACCUGAAAGUGUGGCUGAAGCUCUGGAGGAGGAUGAAGGCCAUCCAAGUGUUUUUCGGUAUUUUUUCUCAUUCAAGGGAAAAACCAGCUGAUCCGUGGAGACUAAUGAUAUGUCCUCCUUUUUCAGUUAUGAUGCCACAGAGGAAACAGAAAAGGGGCCUUCUUAUGGAAGACUUGUAAAUCAUGGGGAGCCACAUGAGCGCAACUGUAACAUGAAGGUUAUUUCUGUGGAAGAUGUACCGUACUUGUGCCUUUUUGCCUCAGAGACCAUAAGAGUUGGCAGUGAGCUACUUUAUGAUUAUGGUUUACCAGAUGCAAAGCUGCCAUGGAAACAUAUGGAGCAGCCCCCGUCUCCAUCUAGCAGCCCACUUGAUACUUCUCACCAGGAGCAGCCCCCGUCUCCAUCUAGCAGCCCGCUUGAUACUUCUCACCACGAGCAGCCCCUGUCUCCAUCUAGCAGCCCACUUGAUACUUCUCACCAGGAGCAGCCCCUGUCUCCAUCUAGCAGCCCACUCGAUACUUCUCACCAGGAGCAGCCCCCGUCUCCAUCAAGCAGCCCACUUGAUACUUCUCACCAGGAGCAGCCCCCGUCUCCAUCUAGCAGCCCGCUUGAUACUUCUCACCAGGAGCAGCCCCCGUCUCCAUCUAGCAGCCCGCUUGAUACUUCUCACCAGGAGCAGCCCCCGUCUCCAUCUAGCAGCCCGCUUGAUACUUCUCACCAGGAGCAGCCCCCGUCUCCAUCUAGCAGCCCGCUUGAUACUUCUCACCAGGAGCAGCCCCUGUCUCCAUCUAGCAGCCCACUUGAUACCUUGUCUCAAAUUGUCCCUGAAUCACAUUACUUGCGGAUGCCAAAUGUCAGUGUAAGAAUGUCAGUUUAUCUCUCUUUUUCCUAUUCCUGGUUGCUUUUGGACUAUUCAGAACUCUGGGAGCACUGCCAUUACAAUGUGAACACUAUGCUGUUACAGAAAAGCAUGUAAAAAGUAUUGUUUUUCACAGGAUGAUGAUGUAUGUGUUUACCAUGAAAAGGUUAUCAAAAUUGCAAUUAUCAGGUAAAAGUCUAUACUUUUACAAUAUCUUUACUUUCUUAGGGUGGGAAAAAUUUGCCAAAUAACAUGUUUAGGGUAUCCUGAGACCGAAGUAUAAUUACUUAUUAAUGGUCUUUUUUGAAAUUUCAUGUGGUGGUCUUCACUUUAUUUUAUGACAGUGUCUCAUAAAAUGAAACUUGCAUGUAUACUUGGUUUUGUUUCAAAUAUUUCUCUGAAGUUUACAUCAGAAUAUAUUAUGUAAAUGAUAAUUAUAAUACCAAUAAUAAUAGAUAAAAAGAAACAAAAUUGUAGUAGGGCCCCCUAAAAAAUGUUACCCCCACAGGGCCCUUAUGGGUGCGUCGUGUGUCGUCCAUUGUGCGUAAACUUUGUACAUUUUAAUCUUCUUAUCCAGAACCAAUGAUAGGAUUCCAAUCAAACUUGACAGGAAUCAUCCUCAGGGGUAUAGGAACCAAAGUUGCUAAAAUGGUGGGCAUGGCCCCUAGGGGGCCCUGGGGGAUGACGCCAAAUGUAAAAAAUAUGUUAAUUGUAAACAUCUUCUUCUUAAGAUCCAGAACUAUGGUGUAAAGAUACCUCUAUUGAUACAGAAUGAAAGUUGUUCAUGACAUUUCUUUGGAUAGCCCCUGAGGGGGUCCUGUGGGGAUAACAUGUUGGGGGGAACUACCAGGUGAAAUGAGCAUUUUUUCUACUUCUUUUAAAUAAAUGAUUAUAUUUCAUCCAAAUGUGGUUGAAAUCAUUCUAAAGUGUAGGGGAUCCAUAGUUGCUUAUAAAUUACAAUUCAGCCCCAGGGGCCCAGUUGAAGGUCCCCAAGAGUAAUAAAUUAUGUAAAUGCCAAACAUCUACUCUAGAUCCAGAAGUAAGCCAUACCUGGUAUUAUGCUUACAGAUGCCUCAAUUUAUGAAGAAUACACAUUGUUCAUGACAUUUAUGUGGGUGGCCCCUGAGGGGCCAAGUGGGGGUAACUUGGGGGGGGGGGGGGGGGGUGGCCUCCAGGAGAAACGAACAUUUUCAUAUCUCCUGUGGGUGCCAGAGAGAACAUGCGCCAGAUGUGAAUUGAUCGACCUCGGGUGAACGUUGUGCCCCCCUAGGGCUCUUGUUUGUUUCAGAUGCUUCUCUGUUAAUGAGAUUUUUUAUUCUCUCUUACAAUCUAUUGUAAAAAGUUGCAAUGUUAUAAAACUUCUUUGUGUGUUAAGUUGAAAUGGCAUUUAUAUCAAGUUGUUAGAAUGUUUCUCAUGUUUGUAAAUAUGGAAAUCCUGUUAAUUCUGGUUGAUGUUUGAGGAUUCAGAAGCCCAGAUGCACUGCCAUUCACGAUGUGGACAGUGCUGGUGUUUUUUUUCAAAGAAGGAUGAUGUAUAUGUUUAUGUGAAAAGUUUAUCAAAAUUUGCAAAUAUCAAAGUAAAAGGCUAUACAGUACAAUGUACUUUAAAAUUAGCGCUAUCUUUUGAGGGUUGGAAAACCUGAUCAAAUAAUAUGUCAUUAGAGUUUCCUUAGACUAAAGUACAUGUAUAAUUUAUUAUUCACAGUCCAUUUUGAAUUAAGAAAGUGUGAUGAGGCAUUAGAAAAUAUGCAUAAGGUAUUUCAUGAACGCAGGAUAUAAUUCUGAAAUUUCAGUCAUUAGUACAGAAUAAAGAACGGCCAUUCCGACAAUUUAACACCUUCUAAAAUUCUGUUUUAUCUGAAAUUUAGGUCAUUUGUUUUAACAUAACAUUCAUAUAGAAGUUUUAAAUGUACAGGGGUCUCCUACACACCAGGAAUCUCCUUGUUCCUAUUGUAUUAUAGGAAAAGCUGAGCCGUACAAACAUUUCGAUGUUGUUAUUGUAUCUGUAACUUUUUAGUAAGAUUAUCUUAAGGGCAUUUUCCAUACAUACUGGAAAGAAAAUAUUCAAAAUAAUUUGCAGAAAAGGUGGAAAUAUUGAAUAUUUGUAGAGCUGCACUAUGCACAUCACAAACCCUGUGUUGUUACUGCAUUAAAUUUAAAGAUAUA